UAGUGGCACAUUUUUUUGUGCCUAUAGUAAGUUUUUAGUGGCACAUAUAUGUAUUUGCCACUAUAUCACCUCAAUUUUAGCUUUUGCCGCUUCAAAUUUCCCAAAAGAAAAAGGUUUCCGCCACCCCCGCAUUCAUUUUCAUUUUCACUCUUGAUCUCUAAAUUUUUUGACCUAGUUCUGUCUCUCCCAAAAUAGCCACCAUCGUCCGCCACCCUAAAACCAAAAUCGACCUAAGUUGCAGCUCAUCUUUUACGAUGCUCUUUCUAUGUGCAUAAACUCUUCUCAAUCCUCUCUCACACACACCUUACCUUAUCAAUUACUAUCUUUACGUCUCUUCCUGCUAUGCUCUCCACUGUAAGCAAAUUUUCAAACUAGGGUUUGCAAAUUAUCGUGUUUAGGCUUUGGAUUGGAUUUCAAAGAUUGUUGUAAGGUCAACUUCUUUUCUCUUCUUUCUUGUCAUCGGUUUUCUGAUGAACGUUCAUUCUAUUUUUCUCUUCGGCAUGUCCAAAUUCUGUCUUUGGCUUCUCAGUUUUGAAGAUUAAUCAUUAGUGGAAUUCAGUUUCAGAUUCAGUGAAAAGUUCUCUUUCGCUCUCUGUUCUCUUUCACUCUCUCUUCUCCGAUGAACAUUAUUUGCUCUAUUUCUUAUUCGUUUUUAAAUAUUAUCCGAUUAUCACUUUUUUAACUGCCUUUUGAAGAUUCAGAACUAUAGGAAUGGGUUCAGGAUAUAAGUUCUAAUGAGUCUUCAUGUUAAUAGACUUCCAUUUGUAGGUUUUUGCAGCUCUGUUAGUUUAUCCACAACAUAUAUUGAUGGCCACAACCGUAGUUGUUGCUACUUUGAGGUAGAUCGACUAUUUGGAAUUGAGGUAUUGUUUUAAUAUGAGGUUUUUUCAUUAACAUUUGAGCUACUUCUGCCAGUGUAAAUUGUUGUUGGUCAGAACUUUUUUGAGUUUAAUUUUUAAUCCAAAUUGGUGUAAUUUGUUGUUGUUUCGACGUUUUUGGAUUUUUUUCAUUAUUAAUUAAAUAUAUUCCUUGUUUAGAGACACACAUCAAGUGCUCGAUGAAAUGCCUGAAACAAACAUCACUACAAGUUCAAUUUGUUUGUGACUUUAUAAUGUUUUACUCAUUUAUAACACAUGUAUGCUCAUGAUAUUUGCUAUUCUAUUAUGAAUAUGAAGUUUCUAACAAAUGUACACCUGAAGCACACACAAUGCUUGUGUUUUUAUUACCUUAUUCAUAACUAGAAGAUUCUUUAGCUAAAUUUCUUUCUCAAAUGCAGCUAUGUGGGUAACAUUCACACAUAAGUGACUGAACCACUUCUUAAAGAGGUUAUUCCAAAGCACUAGUGCAUUAGUGGUGCAAUAGUAAGAAAAUAAUCGAAGAUUACAAAUAUGAAAGUCAAGGAAGAUGGGAGGAGGAAAUAAAUGAGGAUGUGUUAAAUGAGAAGGAAAACAAGCCAAAUAGACUUAACGUUCCAAUAAGAACCUAAAAGUCAAAACCUCUAGCAAAAUUGGAUUCUGUCCAUCCUCGCAGCCAAACAAAACACACAAUGAUGGUUUAGAAAUUGAGGUUUUUCCCUGUUUAGCUUUUAAAAAAUGAUUUUGGACCAAACAAAAUUGGAUUCUUUGACUAAAUUAUAAAAAAUUUAGUGUCUUUUUUUUCUAUUGCAUAACAGUCAUCAAGUCAACUUCCCUAGCAUCCAUUGACAAUUACGACUUCCCUUCUUUGAGCAUCGUGAUUUUCCUUGACGGCUGGACCUGGUAACUAGUAACCAAUAAGAGGUAAAAAUCUUCCUCCUUUUUUUAUUAGUUUUCUAUAAUCAAUAAAUUAAUCUUUCCUUUCUAAAUAAUGAUGAUUGAGUAUUUGAUCUACGAAGUGUUGGUUUAAUGUUAUGUAUAUAAAAAAGUUUUUUUAAUUUCUAAACACACCUAUACAUAGUUUAUGAUAUUUGAAGUGUUAGUUUAGUGUUAGUUUAAAGCAUCACAUAUUGUUUAGGAGCAUGGAAUUCAUCAACCUUUUUUGUUUAAGUUUUGUGAUUUUUAACGUCUACAUAGCUUAGUUUUUUAUGUUUUGUUUUGUUUUUUUUAAUACUUUUCUAGACACAUCUACACCGCCCUACAUAGCUUAUCAUAUGUGAAGUGUUAGUUUUAUAUACAUUCUUCUAAUGCUUUUUUGUGACUAUGUAAUUCGAUUACUUUGCCUUUCAUUUUAACAUUUGAAUUUUGAUAUGUUGUUUGUGCAAUGUGAAAACAGGUUUAACCAACGAUGAGACUAGAGAUGUGGUAGAAGAUCUUGAUAAAGAAGUGAAUGUCUUGGAUGACGAUUUUAUGAUAGUAUUAUGUUAUUAGUACUAGCAUAACAUUUAGAUUUAUUAUAAUUUUUAAGAUAUUUGUGUUUUAAAUAUUAAGAUUUUAUUUUUAGACAAGUUUGAUUUGAUGUAAUGAUACUGUGUUUCAAUUUAUUAUCUUCAUUAUCUUAUUAUUAUUUUAUAUUCCAUUUAAAAUUAA
rnacentral:lncRNA from 1 species